UAAAGGAGAUGAUGGUAUGUGUGUGUGUGGGGGGGGGGGGCAGGAGGAGACUAGGAAGCAAAAUCAUUGUAUUAUUUUGUUAAGGGGUGGAGUGGAGGAAUAAAGAACAUGAUAUAUCAAGCAGGUGGACGGGCUGUGUUUAAAAUUAGAUAACAGCUUGGUCCAGAUUCCUCACCCAUCCCUUAGUAAGACAAAGUUUGAACGCCUUGGUGCCAAAAAAAUAUAGCUAUAUAGUCUGAAUUAUCUGUUGCUAAGCACAAGGAGAAAAUGAAAUGGGAGAAUGUCACUCUGAAGAGAGCCUUCCUUUCUUUUAGAUGAGGAUUUCAAAUGGAGAGAACACCUACGUUGCGGAGGCGUUGAGUUGCCUUAAUGUUUUUAAAGUGCUUUUGGAAUCUCCAGAUGGGAGGCGCUAGCCAAGUGGUGACAUUUUUGAAUGUUGAAGCUGAAAUGUCAUCUUUGAGCAUGGAGAAAGGAGGAAAAGGAUACACAUGAGAUGAGGAUUUCAAAUGGAGAGAACACCUACGUUGCAGAGGCGUUGAGUUACCUUAAUGUUUUUAAAGUGCUUUUGGAAUCUCCAGAUGGGAGGCGCUAGCCAAGUGGUAAAUAGUGAGAGUGCAGUAACCACUGUAAAUAGGUUAACAAUUUCCAUUCUAAUCCCCUUUUCAUUUGCUUAUAAUUUGCUGGAAAUUUCUGAGCUUGGCCUUUGUCUCUAGGUGACAUUUUUGAAUGUUGAAGCUGAAAUGUCAUCUUUGAGCAUGGAGAAAGGAGGAAAAGGAUACACAUGAGGUAGUUACCGCCAUUUUACAGAUGAGGAAAUUGAGGCUCAGAAGUUGUGACCUGUCCAAAGUAAAAGAAAUGUAUAGCGGCUUUGGGAAUCAAAUUCAGGUCUCCCGACACCUAUCGUUGUGCUUUUACCACACGACCAUCGUCAAUAGUUAUUGGUCAUUGAGUCAAUAAAGUCAGAUACUAGAUUGGUCUGGGGACCAAUCUUAUUUAACAUUUUCAUUAAUGACCUUGGCACAAAAUGUGGGAGUGUGCUAAUGAUAUUUGCGGAGGACACAAAGUUGGGAGGUAUUGCCAAUACAUAGAAGGACUGGAAUAUCACAUAAGAAGAUUUGGAUAAAAUUGAAAACUGGAGGAAUAGAAAUGGGAUGAAAUUUAAUAGUGCAAAGUCUGAGGUCAUCGUUUUAGGGACUAAAUACAAGAAUUUUUGUUGCAAGCUGGGGACAUAGCCAUUGGAAACAACAGAAAGGAAAUACCUGGGUGUACUCGUUGAUCACAGGAUGACUAUGAGCCACCAAUGUUAUGCGUCUGUGGGGGAAAAAAAGUAAUUCAAUCCUAGGUCCAUCAGACAAGGUAUUGCCAGUAGAGAGAGAGAAGUAUUAGCACCAUUAUACAAGGCAGCUGGUGAGACCUCAUCUGGCAUACUGCAUGCAAUUCUGGUCUCCCAUGUUUAAGAAAGAUGAAUUCAAACUGGAACAGGUGCAGA